AGUGAACGCUGGCGGUAGGCCUAACACAUGCAAGUCGAACGGCAGCACAGUAAGAGCUUGCUCUUACGGGUGGCGAGUGGCGGACGGGUGAGGAAUACAUCGGAAUCUACUUUUUCGUGGGGGAUAACGUAGGGAAACUUCCGCUAAUACCGCAUACGACCUACGGCUGAAAGCAGGGGAUCUUCGGACCUUGCGCGAUUGAAUGAGCCGGUUUCGGAUUAGCUUGUUGGGUGGGUAAGGGCCCAACUAGGCGACGCUACGGAGCCUAUCCGAGGGGGUGGAUGACCCAAAUUGAAACGGGAACAGGUCCCGAAUCCCAAGGGGAGCCACCAGUGGGAAAUUUUGGACAAUGGGCGCAAGCCUGAUCCAGCCAUCCCGCGUGGGUAAAGAAGGCCUUCGGGUGGUAAAGCCCUUUUGUUGGGAAAGAAAAGCAGCAGAGUAACACCCCGCUGUUCUGACGGAACCCAAAAAAUAAGCACCGGCUAACUUCGU
rnacentral:rRNA from 1 species